rnacentral:misc_RNA from 1 species
GAAAUGCGAUAAGUAAUGUGAAUUGCAGAAUUCAGUGAAUCAUCGAAUCUUUGAACGCACAUUGCGCCCGCCAGUAUUCUGGCGGGCAUGCCCGUCCGAGCGUCAUUUCAACCAUCAAGCCCCCGGGCUUGUGUUGGGGACCUGCGGCUGCCCGCAGGCCCUGAAAACCAGUGGCGGGCUCGCUGUCACACCGAGCGUAGUAGCAAUCACCUCGCUCAGGGCGUGCUGCGGGUUCCGGCCGUUAAACAGCCUUACAAAACCCAAGGUUGACCUCGGAUCAGGUAGGAAGACCCGCUGAACUUAAGC